rnacentral:lncRNA from 10 species
UUUUCUUGAAAUUGUUUAGUCAUUAUAUUUUACUGGCAUGAAGUUAUGGCUAUCUUCCUCUCUUUUCCACAUGAUAGGAAAGAGCACCCAGGUCAUGGACAUGAAAGACAUAGCUUCCCAGGACUUUGAUCUACUAAAGUGGUGAUUUGUUUUAUAACAUUUCUACUUAUAGUCCCUUAAGCUGCUAAAAAACAUUAGAAGUCAAAUCCCUUUGAAUAAGUUUUCUUUCUAGGAAGAGCCAGAGUCCAAAGCAUUGUAUUCAGGGUGUCUUUUAGUGUUAGUCCAAUUUGCACUAUAUUCAGGAUAAUUCAGCUAUUGCCAGUAUUCUAGCAGUCAAAUACAAAAUGACCCAGGUGAAGCAUGGUGAACUUUUGGUUUACAGUUUUAAAUUCAAGAGGUCAGUUUCGAUUGAUACAAGGAUAUGAAAUUAGGGUUUGUUCUGGUUGAAUAGGUUGAGGUUUAGGACAGGGAAGGAAAAAGAGAAAGGAUAAAGCCAAUCAGAUGGUAUGACAUCACAUUCAAGACUAAAUAAUGAGACUGUGAGCUCAUUUUAUCCUCAGGCACACUGGAAAGUAGGCAUACUAUACAGUAACAGCCAACUUUUUGUUCAUUCUAACUCUUACCACACCGAGCUUUCCUUGGUGUCAGCCACAGGGGUCACUAAGCCAUCAGCUGAUCAAGAAAGUCUCCCGAGUAGCUGGACUACAGGUGCCCGCUCUCAGGCCUCUGAGCCCAAGCCAAGCCAUCGCAUCCCCUGUGACUUGCACGUAUAUGCCCAGAUGGCCUGAAGUAACUGAAGAAUCACAAAAGAAGUGAAUAUGCCCUGCCCCACCUUAACUGAUGACAUUCCACCAUAAAAGAAGUGUAAGUGGCCGGUCCUUGCCUUAAGUGAUGACAUUACCUUGUGAAAGUCCUUUACCUGGCUCAUCCUGGCUCAAAAAGCACCCCCACUGAGCACCUUGCGACCCCCACUCCUGCCCGCCAGAGAACAAACCCUCUUUGACUCUCUUCACAGGGACGCGCAUGAAAUUUGGUGCCGCGACUCAGAUCGGGGGACCUCCCUUAGGAGAUCAAUCCCCUGUCCUCCUGUUCUUUGCUCCGUGAGAAAGAUCCACCUAUGACCUCAGGUCCUCAGACCGGACCAGCCCAAGGAACAUCUCACCAAUUUUAAAUCAGGUUCCCACGCCGACCCUAAUGCCGCUUGAAGCAGCCCUGAGAAACAUCGCCCAUUCUCUCUCUCCAUAUCACCCCCCAAAAAUUUUUGCCACCCCAACACUUCAACACUAUUUUGUUUUAUUUUUCUUAUUAAUAUAAGAAGGCAGGAAUGUCAGGCCUCUGAGCCCAAGCCAAGCCAUCGCAUCCCCUGUGACUUGCACGUAUACGCCCAGAUGGCCUGAAGUAACUGAAGAAUCACAAAAGAAGUGAAUAUGCCCUGCCUCACCUUAGCUGAUGACAUUCUACCACAAAAGAAGUGUAAAUGGCCAGUCCUUGCCUUAAGUGAUGACAUUACCUUGUGAAAGUCCUUUCCCUGGCUCAUCCUGGCUCAAAAAGCACCCCCACUGAGCACCUUGCCACCCCCACUCCUGCCCGCCAGAGAACAAACCCUCUUUGACUGUAAUUUUCCUUUACCUUCCCAAAUCCUAUAAAACGGCCCCACCCUUAUCUCCCUUCGCUGACUCUCUUUUCAGACUCAGCCCGCCUGCACCCAGGUGAUUAAAAGCUUUAUUGCUCACACAAAGCCUGUUUGGUGGUCUCUUCACAGGGACGCGCAUGAAACCCGCCACCACGCCCGGCUAAUUUUUUGUAUUUUUAGUAGAGAAGGGGUUUCACCAUGUUAGCCAAGAUGGUCUCAAUCUCCUGACCUUGUGAUCCACCCUCCUCAGCCUCCCAAAGUGCUGGGAUCACAGGCGUGAGCCACCGUGCCCGGCCGUAAGUAGUAAUUUGAAUGAUUUCUACGUCAAAGAUAUGGCUACAGGCCAAGAAAAUACAGUGGUGGGUUAACAGACACAGUCUUGGCCCUAAAAAGGUUUACAGUCUAGUGGGAGAAGUAGCCUCAAAUAAGGGACUAGACAAA